GACGAACGCUGGCGGCGUGCUUAACACAUGCAAGUCGAACGAAGUGGCGAACGGGUGAGUAACGCGUAAUCAACCUGCCCUUCAGAGGGGGACAACAGUUGGAAACGACUGCUAAUACCGCAUACUGAAGGAGGGGAUUGCGUCUGAUUUGCGAGUUGGGGGGGGAACGGCCCACCAAGGCGAUGAGCAGUAGCCGGUCUGGGAGGAUUGACGGGCACAAUGGGACUGGGACACGGGCCAGACUCCUAAGGGAGGCAGCAGUGGGGAAUCAUCCGCAAUGGACGAAAGUCUGGCGGAGCAACGCCGCGUGAGGGAUGACGGCCUUCGGGUUGUAAAGCUCUGUUAAUCGGGACGCGGUACCGGAAUAGAAAGCCACGGCUAACUACGUGCCAGCAGCCGCGGUAAUAC
rnacentral:rRNA from 1 species